ACAGAAUCCAUGAGUGUGUUAGCUACAUCAUCGGUUUAAUUAUAUAAGUAAUGAUAACACGGGAAAAUAUAGGUUCGUGUGGCUACAGAAUCCAUGAGUGUGUUAGCUACAUCAUCGGUUUAAUUAUAUAAGUAAUGAUAACACGGGAAAAUAUAGGUUCGUGUGGCUACAGAAUCCAUGAGUGUGUUAGCUACAUCAUCGGUUUAAUUAUAUAAGUAAUGAUAACACGGGAAAAUAUAGGUUCGUGUGACCACAGAAUCCAUGAAUAAAGAAGACAAAAAAGAUGAAUAUAAAAACCUAAAAAAAUAAACAGAAACGUCUAACCUAACCAAACCCCAGACAGAGUGCGUACAUCGGAGAGUCAGUCAUCUUGUGGAGCA